CUACUGCUUCCCUAGUACGGCGAGUGAGCGGGAAGAGCUCAAAUUUGUAAUCUGGCACUUUCAGUGUCCGAGUUGUAAUCUCGAGAAGUGUUUUCCGCGCCGGACCGCAACAAGUCUGUUGGAAUACAGCGUCAUAGUGGUGAGAACCCCGUAACUGAUGCGGAUGCCCGGUGCUUUGUGAUACACUUUCGAAGAGUCGAGUUGUUUGGGAAUGCAGCUCAAAUUGGGUGGUAAAUUCCAUCUAAAGCUAAAUAUUGGCGAGAGACCGAUAGCGAACAAGUACCGUGAGGGAAAGAUGAAAAGCACUUUGGAAAGAGAGUUAACAGUACGUGAAAUUGUUGGAAGGGAAACGAUUGAAGUCAGACUUGUUAUCUGGAGUUCAGCCUUUCGGUGUACUCUCCAGUUUACAGGCCAGCAUCAGUUUUCGGGGCGGGAAAAUCGUAAUUAGAAGGUAGCAGCCUAGCUGUGUUAUAGCUCUUUACUGGAUUCCGCUUUGGGGACUGAGGAACGCAGUGUGCUUUUAGCAAUACCCUCGGGUAUUUCACACUUAGGAUGCUGGUGGAAUGGCUUUAAACGACCCGUCUAAAAAAAGGGGAAAAAAAAAAACAAAAAAAAAAAAAAAAAAAAAAAAAAACAAGGC
rnacentral:rRNA from 1 species